AUCUAAUGUUGAACUAAAGUGAUAUUGAUAAGUCUCUCUAUAUUCAAACUUCUCAUUCAAAUUUUCUUGUUUGACAUAAUCAAACUUCUAUAUAGUGUCUUAGUAUAUAUCAGAGCCGGCCCAAUAAAUUAUUGGACCUUGUGCUAUGCUCCAAAUUUCUUUACCUAAAACUCUAAAUAUUUAAAAACUAAAUCCUAUUUUGCAAUUAUUUGAAAAUUUGGACCCUAAAAUAUAAAGAAAAAACUGAAUAAAGAAGUGAAACCCGGUGCACUAGCACACUCAGCACCUCCCAAGAGCCGGGCCUGAUAUAUAU
rnacentral:sRNA from 1 species